rnacentral:rRNA from 1 species
UACGGAGGGUGCAAGCGUUAAUCGGAAUUACUGGGCGUAAAGCGUGCGCAGGCGGUUUGUUAAGUCUGCUGUGAAAUCCCCGAGCUCAACUUGGGAAUUGCAGUGGAUACUGGCAGGCUGGAGUAUGGUAGAGGAAGGUGGAAUUCCCGGUGUAGCAGUGAAAUGCGUAGAGAUCGGGAGGAACACCAGUGGCGAAGGCGGCCUUCUGGACCAAUACUGACGCUCAUGCACGAAAGCGUGGGUAGCGAACAGG